rnacentral:lncRNA from 1 species
UAAAUAAGGCUUCUUUGGCCAACGUUGUAAUCAGUUUAGCUUAUUUUUAUGAUAUUGAAUCAAAACUCUAGAGAAGAGAUUUUCUUCUUCCUUUGUCAUUUUUUUUGUUUUGUGUCUUCUUUCUCUCUCCAUCGAAAUGUGGCCUAGGCUGCUUUAAUUGAUAUUAGAGUCCUAUCAAUCCUGAGGAGAGUUCUUCUCUAUAGUCGAGAUGAUGGAUGGUGGUCGCAAGAAGAACCAACCUAUAAAUCAAGCAACGAUAGCUCAUAAUGAAAUCACGUAGUGGAAAUGAGAUCUAAUGAUAGAGUG